GAUGAACGCUGGCGGCGUGCCUAAUACAUGCAAGUCGAGCGAACAGACGAGGAGCUUGCUCCUCUGACGUUAGCGGCGGACGGGUGAGUAACACGUGGAUAACCUACCUAUAAGACUGGGAUAAAUUCGGGAAACCGGAGCUAAUACCGGAUAAUAUAUUGAACCGCAUGGUUCAAUAGUGAAAGACGGCUUUGCUGUCACUUAUAGAUGGAUCCGCGCCGCAUUAGCUAGUUGGUAAGGUAACGGCUUACCAAGGCAACGAUGCGUAGCCGACCUGAGAGGGUGAUCGGCCACACUGGAACUGAGACACGGUCCAGACUCCUACGGGAGGCAGCAGUAGGGAAUCUUCCGCAAUGGGCGAAAGCCUGACGGAGCAACGCCGCGUGAGUGAUGAAGGUCUUCGGAUCGUAAAACUCUGUUAUUAGGGAGGAACAGAUGUGUAAGUAACUAUGCACGUCUUGACGGUACCUAAUCAGAAAGCCACGGCUAACUACGUG
rnacentral:rRNA from 1 species